rnacentral:rRNA from 1 species
ACGGAGGGAGCUAGCGUUGUUCGGAAUUACUGGGCGUAAAGCGCGCGUAGGCGGCUUUGUAAGUUAGAGGUGAAAGCCCGGGGCUCAACCCCGGAAUUGCCUUUAAGACUGCAUCGCUUGAAUCCGGGAGAGGUGAGUGGAAUUCCGAGUGUAGAGGUGAAAUUCGUAGAUAUUCGGAAGAACACCAGUGGCGAAGGCGACACACUGGCUCACUACUGACGCUGAGGCGCGAAAGCGUGGGGAGCAAACAGGA